UUAAGUUAUUAAGGGCGCACGGUGGAUGCCUUGGCACUAGAAGCCGAUGAAGGACGUUACUAACGACGAUAUGCUUUGGGGAGCUGUAAGUAAGCUUUGAUCCAGAGAUUUCCGAAUGGGGAAACCCAGCAUGAGUUAUGUCAUGUUAUCGAUAUGUGAAUACAUAGCAUAUCAGAAGGCACACCCGGAGAACUGAAACAUCUUAGUACCCGGAGGAAGAGAAAGAAAAUUCGAUUCCCUUAGUAGCGGCGAGCGAAACGGGAAGAGCCCAAACCAACAAGCUUGCUUGUUGGGGUUGUAGGACACUCUAUACGGAGUUACAAAGGACGACAUUAGACGAAUCAUCUGGAAAGAUGAAUCAAAGAAGGUAAUAAUCCUGUAGUCGAAAAUGUUGUCUCUCUUGAGUGGAUCCUGAGUACGACGGAGCACGUGAAAUUCCGUUGGAAUCUGGGAGGACCAUCUCCUAAGGCUAAAUACUCUCUAGUGACCGAUAGUGAACCAGUACCGUGAGGGAAAGGUGAAAAGCACCCCGGAAGGGGAGUGAAAUAGAACCUGAAACCGUGUGCUUACAAGUAGUCAGAGCCCGUUAAUGGGUGAUGGCGUGCCUUUUGUAGAAUGAACCGGCGAGUUACGAUUUGAUGCAAGGUUAAGCAGUAAAUGUGGAGCCGUAGCGAAAGCGAGUCUGAAUAGGGCGUUUAGUAUUUGGUCGUAGACCCGAAACCAGGUGAUCUACCCUUGGUCAGGUUGAAGUUCAGGUAACACUGAAUGGAGGACCGAACCGACUUACGUUGAAAAGUGAGCGGAUGAACUGAGGGUAGCGGAGAAAUUCCAAUCGAACCUGGAGAUAGCUGGUUCUCUCCGAAAUAGCUUUAGGGCUAGCCUCAAGUGAUGAUUAUUGGAGGUAGAGCACUGUUUGGACGAGGGGCCCCUCUCGGGUUACCGAAUUCAGACAAACUCCGAAUGCCAAUUAAUUUAACUUGGGAGUCAGAACAUGGGUGAUAAGGUCCGUGUUCGAAAGGGAAACAGCCCAGACCACCAGCUAAGGUCCCAAAAUAUAUGUUAAGUGGAAAAGGAUGUGGCGUUGCCCAGACAACUAGGAUGUUGGCUUAGAAGCAGCCAUCAUUUAAAGAGUGCGUAAUAGCUCACUAGUCGAGUGACACUGCGCCGAAAAUGUACCGGGGCUAAACAUAUUACCGAAGCUGUGGAUUGUCCUUUGGACAAUGGUAGGAGAGCGUUCUAAGGGCGUUGAAGCAUGAUCGUAAGGACAUGUGGAGCGCUUAGAAGUGAGAAUGCCGGUGUGAGUAGCGAAAGACGGGUGAGAAUCCCGUCCACCGAUUGACUAAGGUUUCCAGAGGAAGGCUCGUCCGCUCUGGGUUAGUCGGGUCCUAAGCUGAGGCCGACAGGCGUAGGCGAUGGAUAACAGGUUGAUAUUCCUGUACCACCUAUAAUCGUUUUAAUCGAUGGGGGGACGCAGUAGGAUAGGCGAAGCGUGCGAUUGGAUUGCACGUCUAAGCAGUAAGGCUGAGUAUUAGGCAAAUCCGGUACUCAUUAAGGCUGAGCUGUGAUGGGGAGAAGACAUUGUGUCUUCGAGUCGUUGAUUUCACACUGCCGAGAAAAGCCUCUAGAUAGAAAAUAGGUGCCCGUACCGCAAACCGACACAGGUAGUCAAGAUGAGAAUUCUAAGGUGAGCGAGCGAACUCUCGUUAAGGAACUCGGCAAAAUGACCCCGUAACUUCGGGAGAAGGGGUGCUCUUUAGGGUUAACGCCCAGAAGAGCCGCAGUGAAUAGGCCCAAGCGACUGUUUAUCAAAAACACAGGUCUCUGCUAAACCGUAAGGUGAUGUAUAGGGGCUGACGCCUGCCCGGUGCUGGAAGGUUAAGAGGAGUGGUUAGCUUCUGCGAAGCUACGAAUCGAAGCCCCAGUAAACGGCGGCCGUAACUAUAACGGUCCUAAGGUAGCGAAAUUCCUUGUCGGGUAAGUUCCGACCCGCACGAAAGGCGUAACGAUUUGGGCACUGUCUCAACGAGAGACUCGGUGAAAUCAUAGUACCUGUGAAGAUGCAGGUUACCCGCGACAGGACGGAAAGACCCCGUGGAGCUUUACUGUAGCCUGAUAUUGAAAUUCGGCACAGCUUGUACAGGAUAGGUAGGAGCCUUUGAAACGUGAGCGCUAGCUUACGUGGAGGCGCUGGUGGGAUACUACCCUAGCUGUGUUGGCUUUCUAACCCGCACCACUUAUCGUGGUGGGAGACAGUGUCAGGCGGGCAGUUUGACUGGGGCGGUCGCCUCCUAAAAGGUAACGGAGGCGCUCAAAGGUUCCCUCAGAAUGGUUGGAAAUC
rnacentral:rRNA from 4 species